rnacentral:rRNA from 1 species
UACAGAGGAUGCAAGCGUUAUCCGGAAUGAUUGGGCGUAAAGCGUCUGUAGGUGGCUUUUUAAGUCCGCCGUCAAAUCCCAGGGCUCAACUCUGGACAGGCGGUGGAAACUACCAAGCUGGAGUACGGUAGGGGCAGAGGGAAUUUCCGGUGGAGCGGUGAAAUGCGCAGAUAUCAGGAAGAACACCCGUGGCGAAGGCGGCUCUCUGGGACGGUACUGACGCUGAGACGCGAAAGCGUGGGGAGCGAACAGG